CACGUUGUUCAUUCCUCUUCCUAAAAUGGCUUCUCCUUCAAUUUUAAAAAAAAUAAAAAUUAAAGGAGAAUCCAAUAUGAAAUGAGAAGCUAUUUUAGGAAGGGAAUGAAUACGGUG
rfam:Populus trichocarpa scaffold_12_contig_150, whole genome shotgun sequence.